CCCGGGGCCUGCAUGAGAUGUUUUUGCACAAAACGGCCGUGGCCCUGGAGCCACCUGCCUUUGGGGACAGUUUUCCUGGUGGAUGAAAGGAUUUUCCCUCUUCUUGCAGGAUGCAUCGAUGGGCAGGAGCUGGGGGGGGGAGAACCUUUGCUGGAGAGCGGUGGGCUCAGCUGUUGGACAAAACAGACCAAGAGGCAAGAGGUGGGAAGAAAAAAAGAGAGAUCUAUGUACGCAGCCUUGCUUUUUUGGGAUGCCUUUCCCAGGACAGACCCCCCGGCACGGGACAGAUUGAAGCACACAGUGGAGCACUUACCAGAGCCAGAACCGGAGCUCAAGAAGCUGGUGGGCUGGAAGACCUACGUUAAACACCAUGAUGGCACCACGUGAGACAGAUUGCUCGUUGCGGGGACAUCCUGGAGCAUAAGGAAGAAAUUCAAGAAAUUCACCCAUAGUGACGUUUCUGGAGACUUUAUCACAUUAUUUCUAUUGCUCGGGGCGCUAGGCAGGGUUAAUCUCUGCUGGAAGCCCAGCGAGCUGUGCUGAGCAUCGGGCGCUCGCGUUUCGGAUGCUCAGAGCAGCCUCCACCUCCCCGCCAUCCCAAGGGAUGCAGCUGGGGAUGCAGCGUCGAUGCUGACCUACUUUUCCUCUCUUUUGCAGGUCUUACGCCAAGCCACAUCUGCCGACGAG
rnacentral:lncRNA from 1 species